AGUAAGAUAAACUACCGGUAAGUUACCAGACUCAUAAUCUGGGUAAGAAGGUUCAAUUCCUUCUCUUGCAA
rnacentral:tRNA from 1 species